UCCCUGGUGGCCCAGCAGCUAAGACUCUGCACUCACAAUGCAGGGAGCCGGGGUUAGAUCCCCGGUCAGGGAA
rnacentral:tRNA from 1 species